UAGGUAGAGAGAAAGAGCAAUUAAAAUAUAUACAAACUGAAAUAGGAAAACAGAACAGUCACAUACUCAAUUCAUAUUCUGAUAUGUUCUUCUCCAUGCCCCCCAGUCUAGUAAAUACUUAAACUAAUGGAAGUUCCUCUCUCUUUUCCUUUAUGAGCAACAUAACAAGUCUGAAGAGACGAGGCUACACAGAAAUUAAUCUCACUGCUGACAGCAAUCUUUAAAAAGAAAAUAACUGAUCCAACUUUAUUAAUUUGAGUCAUAAGCUAAGUGAGGCUCAUUUAACACAUCCCAGGCGUCUGGCAAUAGUGAACUGGGCUGUCUUCUGGUGUUUUUUAUCAAAGAAGAGUUCUCUGUCUUUUUCUUUGUGCAUUUUUUUAACUCUGCCUCUAUAUCCGUAAUUUGUUACUCAUUGUUACGAUGAAGCGUGGAUGAUGAAAGACUAAAAAUAUUCGCAACUGGAUUGAAAACAAAAAUUUGUAAACUGGAGAAUGGAAGACAGAAGUUCUACUCAGAAGAGCUCCCAAGGCCAAAUUGUUAGGAUACAAGCAGCUAGGAAGCAGAGGGCAAGGAAGAAGGCGUUCACGUGUGGGGGACAAACAUGGCAAGCACAUCCAAGUAGGAAAGGGACUGAUUUAAAACAAGGGGGGCUGAGUGGAUUGAGAUCAUGUAUUUAAUCUUGCGAAUACAAAUCCGUCAUUUAAAAUGAAAUAUAUUUGCAUUACUAUUUAAAAUCAUUUAAGAGUCUCUCCCUUCCUAUACCUCCCCUUUAGCUUUUCUAAAGUCUCAAUCUCAAGUUUUGUCCAAUAUAGAUGGAAAGAAAG